GAUGAAGAACGUAGCGAAAUGCGAUACGUAAUGUGAAUUGCAAAUUCAGUGAAUCAUCGAGUCUUUGAACGCACAUUGCGCCCCCUGGUAUUCCGGGGGUCAUGCCUGUCCGAGCGUCAUUGCUGCCCUCAAGCACGGCUUGUGUGUUGGGCCUCCGUCCUCCUCCCGGGGGACGGGCCCGAAAGGCAGCGGCGGCACCGCGUCCGGUCCUCGAGCGUAUGGGGCUUCGUCACCCGCUCUUGUAGGCCCGGCCGGCGCUUGCCGACACAUCAAUCUUUUUUCCAGGUUGACCUCGGAUCAGGUAGGGAUACCCGCUGAACUUAAGCAUAUCAAUAAGCGGAGGA
rnacentral:misc_RNA from 1 species